UAUAAAAUUGCAGGUUUCAUGGUGAAGUAUGGAGUGUGAACUGGAAAACUGAAAUCUAUCAAUAAAAAAACAUUUGAGGCUACCGCAUGAAUCAUUAAAUAGGAACUUUAAUACAGUGUCAAAGUAGAAAAACUACUGGUAGCUUGCAAAAGAACAGCAAUGAUUUGAACAGCAGCACAUACCAAAAAACUGACAUUCUACCAGAUCACGGAAAUCAUGAUAGCAAAAAAUACAAACUACAGAUCAUUCUUGCACCAUUACAACAGGUAACAGGUUGUAAGGUAACUAUGUCAGAUUAUCCUUGAAGGAACAAUGUCACCAUGCCCAUUGGUCAUUUUGGAUUUUAUCAGAAGCUAGCAACAGAUGAAGAUCCACUGCUUAUUCACCAGACCUUUGCUGGUUUAGAAGACUAAAGGAUACAAUCCAGGUUGGAAAAGAUAUAUGAUUUUGCAGAUACGCCAAUCGGACCAACGGCACAUUAUCAACUGAGACCUGCAAGCAUGUGAGCUACAAGCAUCAAUGCCCAUAUAUACAUUUCUAAAGUAAAAUAUAAGACUUCCUUGAUAUUAUGGGUUGCUAGAAGUGAGAGUUCUGAGCACAAGAAGUCUAGCAUUGCUGCAAGCAUAUGCAAGUUUUUCAGCCUGGCCUACAAUUUUCAAAUUCUGGUCUCAACACACAUCUACUCUUGAGGAGCUGAUGACUUUUGACAUUUGAAAGUACUUGAAAGCCCAUGAAAGCUGCACAGAAAGAUAUGGAACAAUUUGAUAACAUUAAUUCUUGAUAGAGUGCAGGUCCAUCCAAGCUAUUGUGCUCAAGGGGGGUUUCAAAGUAACUUGCAGAUAGAGAGGGUGGGCAGUCUUUUAUUUACUAACAAAUUAUGCAAAUUGAUGAAUAAGCACCCCCAGAUGGCAAGAAUUGGAUUUUUUUCAAGGGGGCGUCACACAUCCCUUUAUCUUACAGGCCUACUAGAGUGACCGAAUUUUUCAUAGAAUAAAUAGUAUAUAAAUAGUUAUAGUAGAUGGCUUGCGAAAUUACGCAAUUGAUGGACAGGAUUUUGCAGCAUUAUGAUACAUUCAUUUUUUUGUUUUUUCCUUUUUACUUAUAUGUAAGAUGAAAACACUCUGUGAUCUCAAAUGUCUGUUUCAAUUUUAGUGCCACAAAACGUCUUGAUAAAAUACCUGGCUGCUCUUGACAAUAAUUUGCUUA